rnacentral:rRNA from 1 species
UACAGAGGUCCCAAGCGUUGUUCGGAUUUACUGGGCGUAAAGCGUGCGCAGGCGGUUCGUCGUGUCCGAUGUGAAAGCCCCGGGCUCAACCUGGGAAUGGCAUUGGAAACUGGCGGGCUUGAGUGUGGCAGAGGGGGGUGGAAUUCCGCGUGUAGCAGUGAAAUGCGUAGAGAUGCGGAGGAACACCGAUGGCGAAGGCAGCCCCCUGGGCUGACACUGACGCUCAGGCACGAAAGCGUGGGGAGCAAACAGG